AUUGAACGCUGGCGGCAGGCCUAACACAUGCAAGUCGAGCGGAUGAAGGGAGCUUGCUCCUGGAUUCAGCGGCGGACGGGUGAGUAAUGCCUAGGAAUCUGCCUGGUAGGGGGGGAUAACGUCCGGAAACGGGCGCUAAUACCGCAUACGUCCUGAGGGAGAAAGUGGGGGACCUUCGGACCUCACGCUAUCAGAUGAGCCUAGGUCGGAUUAGCUAGUUGGUGGGGUAAAGGCCUACCAAGGCGACGAUCCGUAACUGGUCUGAGAGGAUGAUCAGUCACACUGGAACUGAGACACGGUCCAGACUCCUACGGGAGGCAGCAGUGGGGAAUAUUGGACAAUGGGCGAAAGCCUGAUCCAGCCAUGCCGCGUGUGUGAAGAAGGUCUUCGGAUUGUAAAGCACUUUAAGUUGGGAGGAAGGGCAGUAAGUUAAUACCUUGCUGUUUUGACGUUACCAACAGAAUAAGCACCGGCUAACUUCGUG
rnacentral:rRNA from 1 species